rnacentral:misc_RNA from 1 species
GAGAGUCGAGUUCAGAGCUCCUCAAAGGAGGUCCCUUUUAGCAUUCGGGAUGAGAAGUCAAGAUUGGUUUUCAAAUAACAAGGGAUGCAAUGAUGAAGGUGAUCCACAGGUUGUUUUCAAUGUUUUGGAUGCAAUGCUUAAUGGUAGUUUGGAGCGCUUGAAAUCAAUGAGGGAAGGCAUAUCAUCUAUUAAAGCAGGCCUUAUAG